CCUACGGGAGGCAGCAGUGAGGAAUAUUGGUCAAUGGACGAGAGUCUGAACCAGCCAAGUAGCGUGAAGGAUGACUGCCCUAUGGGUUGUAAACUUCUUUUAUAAAGGAAUAAAACGAGGCACGUGUGCUUUUUUGUAUGUACUUUAUGAAUAAGGAUCGGCUAACUCCGUGCCAGCAGCCGCGGUAAUACGGAGGAUCCGAGCGUUAUCCGGAUUUAUUGGGUUUAAAGGGAGCGUAGAUGGGUUGUUAAGUCAGUUGUGAAAGUUUGCGGCUCAACCGUAAAAUUGCAAUUGAUACUGGCAGUCUUGAGUACAGUUGAGGUAGGCGGAAUUCGUGGUGUAGCGGUGAAAUGCUUAGAUAUCACGAAGAACUCCGAUUGCGAAGGCAGCUUACUAAACUGCCACUGACAUUGAUGCUCGAAAGUGUGGGUAUCAAACAGGAUUAGAUACCCGGGUAGUC
rnacentral:rRNA from 1 species